GAGUGGCUGGGGAGGGGGGCCGGAGGCCGGAGAGGAAGGGAGCCGCAGCUUCGCUCUGUGCGGGGAGUCGGAGCUCCAGUCUCCUGGCGGAGGGGUGCCUCCGCCGCUCACCGCCCCGCGGGCCAGCGCAGAGCGGGCCUUCGGGGGAUCGGGGAAGCCCUCUCUCCCUGGGGUAUUUCCCACACCAUCAGCCCUCGGCUCGAGGUUGAACUUGGCCCUGGUCUGCCGCCCGUUGAAAAUAGAAAAUUCAGGAAACCGAGGGCUAGAGGACGGACUGGGGAAGACGCACAGGUGGAGCGCAGGCCUCCCGGAUUCUAGCAGAUGCUGACGCAGCCUAACGCACGGUUCCAGUGGAAACGGAGGAACCAGACAAGAGUGCCCUUGGAAUUCCACAUCCCGAAGAAACGCCUCUAGGACUCCUCCCCACGGGUGUCCCAAGGCUCUUCAGAUGCAUCGCUUACAAAGCUGAAGUAUCAACCUUCCCCCAAACCUGCCCUUCCUUCAAGCUCCCCGUCCUAGGGGCUCGGUCCAAAACCCUGGUCUAGACCAGAAUCUUCCUGUCCCAUUGCUGCCCAGUCUACCAACACACCUUGGCACUGUGUGCCUUUCUCACCCCUCUUUGCUCCACUGCCCCCAGGCUGGCCACGCCAUUGUCCCUUUCUCCUGGACUCGUGAUGCCAACCACCAACAGAGUGACCAUCUCCACUCUGUCCUCCUCCUAUCUCUUCCCCCCAUUCAGCUACCAGAGUGGUCAUCUCAAAAUGGACAUCAGGGCCUGCUUUUCCCUUGCUUACAACCCCUAGUGGCUCUCUGACUCAACCCUGGUUAUGUUUGCCUGGAUUCGACGACAGCCGUCCAAUUUCCUUUGUGGAGCCCCUUGCUCCUGCCAGCCUCAGGCCAGUGAUUUCGGAGAUUUGGGGAUGUAACUGGUCAAUCACCACCAACUCCUCUUUUCCCACUGCACACCACCCCUCCACUGCCACAGGGAUUGGUUCAAGGAUGGGUACCAGCUGGGGGCCAAGACAAUGAGAGACCUCCAUGAGUGGCCCUGGGACAAGCAGGAAAGAGGCACUCUCUUUCACUAUGGUAGCUAAAUGGCCACCCUGCCACCAUGUGGGGACAGCAAGCUGGAGAAUGAGGUUAUUUCUUGAGAAAGCAGGACGAAUAAAUAGCCCAAUUGACAAUGUUAUAUGCCUUGACCCAGCUGUGCCUGAUGGCACAGCUAAACCCGUAUCUUUCAGUUACAGGAGCUAAUAAAUCCCCCUACUGUUGCUUAA